rnacentral:lncRNA from 1 species
AUACAUACAACCUAAUUCCUCAUCAUAUUAUUGCACAAUACAUACAACCUAAUACUAUUACAACUCAACUAGGUUCAUCACUAGAACAACUAAAAAAACAUCAUGUUCAUAUACUAUGUUUAUAACAAUCUCCUUUCGGUCACAUAAUACAAAAUAUCAUAAAUAUUACAUAAUCAAUUAAUAAUAUAGUUUUUGGGAUUAAAGUUAAGUACUCGUACCUUUAUCCACCUCAACUCCAUGCCCGCAGGCCUAGCAUACUUUCUCCCAUCAAUUCUAAAUUAUGAAAAUAUAAAAUAAUACAAUCUUCUACUCAUUGAAACCUAUCCUACCUGGACGCCAAGAUUUUGGAAGAAGCAAGCUGCAAAAAGGA